rnacentral:rRNA from 1 species
AAAACAUAGCCAUAAAAUAGAUUUAAGGUGGGACCUGGUCAAUGAAAUUUUAUUUUAAAUACAUGUCUUAGCGUGAGGAUAAUAAAGUAGCAUAAUAAAUUGGCAUUUAAUUGGUGUCUGGAAUGAAUGGUGAAAUGAUUUUAAUACUGUCUCAUUUAAUUUUUAAAAAAACUUUAAAUAAUAGUUAAGAUGCUAUUAAAAAUUUAUAAGACGAGAAGACCCCAAAACCUUAACUGUUACUUUAAAAGGAUUAAAUAUGUUAAUAUUAAAAUUUAUAAAGAAGGCAGUUUGACUGGGAUGGUCAACUUUUAUAUAAACAAAGUGAUAUAUUUUAAAUUACGUAAAUAUAGAAAUUUUUUUAAAUUAAAAUUAUGUUUAACUAGAUUUGUUUAUAAAAAAAAUUUAACAAAAAUAAAAUUUGUUAUUCUGAUUGACUUUAGAAAAGUUUUUAUUUGAAAAGGUACUUUGGGGAUAACAGCGUUAUUUAAAAAAAGAGAUGAAAUUAAUUUUUAAGUUUGCGACCUCGAUGUUGAAUUGGGAUAUCCUUAAAAUAGCAGAAGUUUUAAAAGGUUAGAUUGUUCAUCUAUUAAAAUCUUACAUGAUUU